rnacentral:rRNA from 1 species
AUUGAACGCUGGCGGCGGGCCUAACACAUGCAAGUCGAACGAAUGGCGGACUGGUGAGUAAUUUCUGGGCAACUGCCUGAUGGAGGGGGAUAACUACUGGAAACGGUAGCUAAUACCGCAUAACGUCAGAUGUGGCCAGAUGGGAUUAGCGAGUUGGUGGGGUAACGGCUCCCAAAGGCGACGAGCCCUAGCUGGUCGGAGAGGAUGACCAGCAACACUGGAAAUGAGCCACGGUCCAGACUCCGACGGGAGGCAGCAGGGGGGAAUAUUGCACAAUGGGCGAAAGCCUGAUGCAGCCAUGCGGGGUGUAUGAAGAAGGCCUUCGGGUUGUAAAGUACUUUCAGCGGGGAGGCGUUACCCGCAGAAGAAGCAACGGCUAACUCCGUGCCAGCAGCCGCGGUAAUUC